GUGGGAACCUCUAGGGCGCCGCCCUGUUGCUACUGGUCAAUGUGGCCAGCGCAAUUACUAUUGAAAGAGCUGAGAACAAGUACAGGUCACCUUAUGCUUUGUCACCUAAAAACGCAUACCUGAUGGCUUUAUGAAGGUGGUACGUUAAUAUUAAGUUUACAGAAAGCGAUCGCUAAGUCCGUGACUUAUGUAAAUCACGAUGUACGCAUUCAUGCAAUAAAGGAUGACGCGAAUUUCGGUUUCGAAUCUGUUUUUUGGAUGCGUAGUAGUUUCGUUUGACAUGCGAUCGCGCGUCGACAUCGGACGCUAUGACACACUCGUGCCUUAUGUGCCACCGAAGCCCCGAAGUGGUCUGGCAUAUACCUUCACAUAUAUGCAAUGGCAAGCCCUUCCGUGUGUUCCAAAGACAAUGCCUACGCCUAGCCACAGCAGCUCCCUCAUACAGACUCCACAAACCAAGAGGCCGUGGAGUCAAAUGCAGGCAGCCAGCACACCUCGAACAGCCACCUUGACUGCGGGUGUGUCACCCUAGUCGCCAAGGAAACAUUUGAGGGAAAGUGACAGGCAAUGUGAACAGCCACUUCUCCAUGUAAACAAUACUCUUUCUCUCGGAUGACUCCUACGCCUCACCACUCCAGCACACUUGUGCACAAAGAUGCCGCAGAGGCACGUGCAGGUCAGAGGCAAGAAGCAGUGGCACUGGUGUCGACAUUUACCCAAUUUCUUUUUCUUGCACUGAGGCAGCCAGCACACCUCGAACAGCCACCUUGACUGCGGGUGUGUCACCCUAGUCGCCAAGGAAACAUUUGAGGGAAAGUGACAGGCAAUGUGAACAGCCACUUCUCCAUGUAAACAAUACUCUUUCUCUCGGAUGACUCCUACGCCUCACCACGCCAGCACACUUGUGCACAAAGAUGCCGCAGAGGCACGUGCAGGUCAGAGGCAAGAAGCAGUGGCACUGGUGUCGACAUUUACCCAAUUUCUUUUUCUUGCACUGAGGCAGCCAGCACACCUCGAACAGCCACCUUGACUGCGGCUGUGUCAGUAGAUUCCUGUUGUACAUAUGCUCAUAAUAAACUUCAGUAAACCUGAACUUCAUAAUAAACUUGAAGGCAAAUGGGA